rfam:Picea glauca, whole genome shotgun sequence.
UCUUAUGUACAUGCCUACAAUGUUAAUUAACUAGAUCUCAUCAAAACUCCAUAGUUAAUAUCACUUGGGAUAGAGUGGUACUAGGAUGGGUGACCUUUCAAGAAGUCCUGGUGUUUUACAUGCC